AGUGAACGCUGGCGGUAGGCCUAACACAUGCAAGUCGAACGGCAGCACAGUAAGAGCUUGCUCUUACGGGUGGCGAGUGGCGGACGGGUGAGGAAUACAUCGGAAUCUACUUUUUCGUGGGGGAUAACGUAGGGAAACUUACGCUAAUACCGCGUACGACCUACGGGUGAAAGCAGGGGAUCUUCGGACCUUGCGCGAUUGAAUGAGCCGAUGUCGGAUUAGCUAGUUGGCGGGGUAAAGGCCCACCAAGGCGACGAUCCGUAGCUGGUCUGAGAGGAUGAUCAGCCACACUGGAACUGAGACACGGUCCAGACUCCUACGGGAGGCAGCAGUGGGGAAUAUUGGACAGUGGGCGCAAGCCUGAUCCAGCCAUACCGCGUGGGUGAAGAAGGCCUUCGGGUUGUAAAGCCCUUUUGUUGGGAAAGAAAAGCAGCAGGUUAAUACCCCGCUGUUCUGACGGUACCCAAAGAAUAAGCACCGGCUAACUUCGU
rnacentral:rRNA from 1 species